ACUAACAAUAAAAUAAAAUAAAAGAAAAUGAAAAGAAAAAAGAAAACCCCAAAAUCCCCACCCAAACCCACGAUUUCCACCGGACCUCCAUUAAUCUUCUCUUUCGAAUUUGGCUGCUCCAAACUUUCAUCACCACCAAAAAAAAUCAUCAUAAUCACCACCGUAAAUCAACAUCAUCAUCAUCUAUCGUGGCCGUCCAAUUUUCAUUAAAAAUCACGUGAAAAGCUCGUGAUUGACCCACAAUUGCGCGCCCGCACAGAGGCCGCACAGCAAGUCGCGCAAAGCUACUGCCUCGACUAUGAUUUUGGAUUCCAAUUGUGCGCUUUCUGACAGGCUGCGCGGCCGCGGUGGAGGCUUGAGAUGGUGAGUUUGGGUGUUGUGAGUUGCGCGGCUAUUAGGUGAGUAAUUUGGUGGUGAUUUAGGUGGUUGAUUGUGGGUGAAGGGCUGGUGGUUUAAUUGGUGUUGCGGGGGUCGAAUUAAAGGUGGUAAUUGCUGGCGGUUUGGUGGCGAAAUGGGAGGUGACGGUGGAACAGAGGGUGUGAAAUGGUGAUUAAUUGGUUGUUGUGGGUAAUUGAUUGGGUUGCUGGUGGUGUGAGGAUGUGGUGGCUGAUGGUGUUGUGUUUGUUGUUGUAGCUGUUGGAGGAUGGUGGUUUGGGUGGUUGAUUGGUGGCUGACGGAGGUUGUUCUUGAUUGGAGUGGAGUGCUGGUGCGGUUGUGGUGGGCUGAUAGGUGGUGUUGGUUGUGAUUUUGGUGGCGAAAUGGGAGGUGAGGCUGGGUUGUUGUGAGGGGGCAAAGGGUUGGUUGUUGCGGUUUUGGUGGGUGAUGAUGGUGGUGAUUGCUGGCGGUUUUGGUGUUGUUGGGCUGAUUGGAGUUGCGUGGUGGAGCAGGGGCUGUUGUUGUUGCGGUUCGUUGGCUGGUAAUGGGGUUGAAUUGGGUGUGGAUUGGUGGUGGUUGAUUGAUGGUGUUUUGUUGGUGACCGAUGCUGUUGUGGUGGAUAAAUUAUUGUAAAAUAAGCCGGAAAGCGACUCAAUAAACACCCUAAAAGUGACACAAAAGUCACUUAUCAGGCUUUACUCUAGUUAAUUCGCUGAUGUGGGUUUCUGACUUCUAGGGGCCUUGCUCCAAUUUCACGCAACGUUAAUGAUGUCACUUAUCAGGCUUUACUCUAGUUAAUUCGCUGAUGUGGGUUUCUGACUUCUAGGGGCCUUGCUCCAAUUUCACGCAACGUUAAUGAUUGGCCUUGGAGGAAUUAGAGUUUUGACUGGGAAACAAACUCCUUUUCCUUUAAAAGGAUGGAGUUAGUUACGGAUGAGUAGUUUUGAGUUUUAGCUUUUUAGUUACUUAAAUUUUAGUCACUUAAAUUUUAGUCUUAGUUUUAAUUAUAGUUUUUUUUUUUUCCGUAACUUGCUUUAGUUAGACGUUUAAUUUGCAUGCUGAGGAUUUUAGAUAGGCGGAAGGAGGAAGAUGGAGCAAGGUUUGGUCGAUUCGAGUUUCAGGUGAAUAAACUAAGGGUUUCCUACAGCACACGCGCCGGAGGAGAGGAUCGGAAAAGAAUACAGCAGCUUCUGAGGAAAACCAUAUGUUCAAGGUUGAAUUAGAGAAGAUUUUCUUGAUUGAGUUGUCAAUGUAUGUGCCAAGGUGCUAUCAACAAAUAUGAUGGUUUAGAGACAUUUACAACAUUUUCAAUCCUUAAUCUUAGUCUAACGCGGCACAAUCAGGUCAUUGACACUUCAUUGUAGCCCCUUUUCUUCUUGGUUAAGUUAAAUGUGUGAGUUUAACAGGAACACAAAUGUAAGCAGUAUGUCUUGGAUACAACACUACGACAAAUUUAAGUAGGAGGAUGCUUACAUAGAAGGUGGUGACAGUUCCAGCUGAAUUGCUAGAGGGCAGCUUGAGUCCCAAGGUACAUACCUCCUUCUUCUGUCAACACUAGAUCAACACUGUCUGGACCUGUAUAUUUGCCACGGGUUUCACCCAAGUAGAAAUUGGUACAGUCUGAUAAUGUGGCACGAACCGAGCAUGCUUGAAGAGCAAUUGCAGAGGCAAAGAAAGCUAUGAGAAUUGCUUUCAGGAUGAAGCUUCUGAAGAGACUGGAGAGGCUCCAAUCUACUGGAAGAAAACAGCACCUUGCUAUCUAUGGAUACGCAGUUAGGUUUUUCCAAUACAAUUGCUCUUUAAUGCCUUUUUUCGAAGUUGAGGAUUCAAGAACUCUGGAUGUAGCAUAUGAUAUGGACCUAAUAAGAGUUUCCUGGCAGGUUCAGGUAACUGAGGAUAAAGCUAGCUAUUCACAUAGUUUUAUAAAUAAUUGAAACCCGAUGGGAGAGUUUUAAUCAUUGGUUAUUGCAAGAAUGCUGGUAUACAUACACCCAUCACGUCAACGCCUGAAUUUGUUACAUAUAUUAAGCAGACUGGACAUGAACUAUAUGAUGUGUAGGCAAGUGUCUAGGUUUUAUUCUCAGUUCCCCAUCUUCGAAAUUAGAAUUUCUUACUAUUAGCAUAUAUACUGAUGAUGUAUUCAUUCGUUCCAAAUACUUACGAGAUGCAGUCGAGAAAGAAAUAGAAAGAUUUGUUGCAAACUUUGGAGUUUGUUCAUUUUGUUGAGAAAUCAGUAAAGAACUAAUCGUUGUCGAUGUC